AACAAGGUGAUGAAUGAAAAAGUUAGGCAGACAUAAGUUCUGGCUCUAAAAAUGAACUGUGGAGCAACUGCAGCUGCCGCAGCAACAGGGCAGCCUGCCUUGGAGACAGGGAGCUCCCUCCCGUAGCUGGAAAUUUUUCUAUUUCCAGUGGAAUGAACAACGGCAAGGUACGUUGAGGAAGACAUUUCUGAGUUUAGUGGCGUAUUAUAUAUACAAGGUCAACAUUUUUGAAAGCGUUGUACCUGGACCACAGCGUAUAUGUGAUAACUUUAGGUGGUACAAUCUCUAAAAUUUUUAAUUGGUUUAUAUUUAUUUUUACAUGUAUCUGGUGUGUUGCUCUAUAACUAGCAACUCUUAUACUCUUAAGAUACAAAGGUAGUAUUGCUAAAAUUACAAAUAAACUUUGGGCAAUGGUGUGCUUGAUGACUUCUAAAGUCUCCUCAAAACCGAGACUCUAUAUACAGUUCUAGAUGUAAUCUCAAUAUUACUAAAUUUUCAUUUAUUACAAGCAAUUUAAACACAAGCUAAGUUCAGGUAUCAUAGAAUUUGAGUAGUUGGAGCUUGGUAGAAUCCCGUGAAAACUCAGCUAAAAAUGAGACCCCCAAGCCCCAGAUGAAGAUGCAGCCUGAAACUAUAUACAACUAGAAAAAGUUACCAGGGGCACCCCCUCUCCCCACGAUCCCCUUUAACGGCCGGCAGUCUGCAGGAGGAGCACAGCAGGCUGUGUUUGCAUGCGCCCCUGUCCUUCUGUGGCCAUCACGAAUCCACCAGCCAGUCCUCCGUACUCAGAGGUGAAUAUUUAUUUAACUCAUAUAUGAAUUUUACAUGAUAUCCAUGGUGCUAUAAACAUAGGCACAUUUUUUUUUAACUCAAGGUACAUUCCAAAAUGACUCCCUCACCCUACCCCCUCCAAUCCCUUAAGACAGAACAUCUAGUAUUUGUAAAACAAAGGCCUGAGAGGCCCUGGCACGUGGAUUUUAGGGGCUGGCUUCCGACUUCAGCCCAGAGAGGCCAACAAGCUUAAACAAAGGAGCAUGCAUCUUUCAGCCUUUUCAUUCCAUCAGCUGAUAGAAUUAAUUAAAUGCCUCUGCCCGGAUGGAUGGUUUUUAAUAGGUGUAUGUUUUUGUUCCUCCUACCCAGUUCCAGUCAGAAAACAAGUAUUGGUAACUAUGUUACCAUUGGCCUUGUCUAAACCCCAGUGGCAUGGCUUGAAGAUGUGCCACCCAG